AUGGACGCGCUCUCCCUCAUCGACGUCUCCGGCGAGGAGGACGACUUCCUCCUCGACCUCGCCUCGCCGCCGCAGCACCCCGACCCGCCCCCCCGCGCCGCCCCAGGGGUUUCGGUGGUGGCCGCCGUUUCGGAGCGGAACACCGUCGGAUCUCCUCCUCCUCCGGCGGUGGCGGCGGGCGGGCAGGUCGUGGAUCCCGCGGAGCAGGGCCCGGAGCGUGCGCAGUCCCCGAAGAAGACCAAGCCAAAGGGCGGCGUCAACCUCCGCAAGAGCCUCGCCUGGGACAAAGCCUUCUUCACCAGCGAAGGUGUUCUCGAUACUGAGGAAUUGGGCAUUGUGAACAGCACUUUCCGCAAGUCGCAGGGUUCUAGGCUGCUGCCAGGAAUAGCAGAGGAAAUGAGGAGGUCAAUGGAGUCCACCACCUCCUCGCUGGAAAGUGAAAGCUUUGUGCUGGAAAGCCUUGAGACUGAGCUGUUUGACAAUGUCCGUGCUUCGAUUCAGAGGACACUUGGGAAACCUGAUAAAGCUCCAGUUGUCCCAUCUGCUAGCUCAAAAACCCCUAGGGCCACAGCAAAGGCGCCUCCUGUCACAGCGAGAAAGGGAGUUGAUCGGAUACCUCAGACUCAGAGCAAGAUAAGGCCCCCUGCUUCAACAAGCAAUGGUUCUGUUGGUGGUAGCAAACAAAGGCCCCAAGUCACCCUGAAAGAGCCUGCAGCUGCAAGAGUGGCUGUAUCGAAAGCUGCAGAAGCAAAACCAUCCUCAAAACCUCCCAGAGCUCUGCCAAGAGUUGCUACAAUGAGAGCACCGACUACCACAGCUGUCACCUCUGGGAUUUCAGACAAAAGAAGUAGCACCGGAGGUGUAGUCAACAGGCAGGCAGUUGCCAAGUCUGCUAACAGUUCAGCCAGCGUGCCAUCUCGGCCUGGUGGGGGGACAAAGAACAACUCAACCUCAAAAUCUGGUGCUUUGUCCUCAGCAGCAAGUCCUUCCUUGCGUAGUGCUCCCAUGGCAGGUGGGAAAACAAAGUCACCGACCCUAAUCAGCAAGAACAGGACUGCCCAGAGGAUCCCUAUUCGUUCAUCAUCAAGAUCUGAUAUCAGCAAGGUUGAUCCAGCAAGGGCAUCAAGAAAUAAGAGUCACGGCGAGGGUGCAUCACCGACCAUUUCACCUAGCAGCUCCGUGGACAGCAUGAGUUCUGUGAUUUCUGGGGUUUCAACAGCAUCCACUGUAGGGAGAGCGAGUCAUACAUCUGAGACCUAUAGUACAAGGUCAUCUUCAUUGUCCCCUUCCACCAGAAAGAGCAAUGACCACCCUCCAACCACACUACGGAGGCCUGGUAUUGUUACAGAAGGACAGGCUUCAGGAGCAUUUGCUGAUAAUGUGAAAUCUAAUGUCGACACAUCAACCCAAGGAAAUGGUUUUAAACCAUCUGGUCUACGAAGGCCUACACCCAAGAUUGGAUAUUUUGAUGCCGAGAAAUCUGUUGAACAAAAAGCCGGUGCACGGGCACAACUGCAACCCACGAAGGUUCUGUUUUCACCGUUGGCCACACAGAACUCUUGGAUUCCUUCUACUCCGAAGACAAUCCCUGCAGCUCUUACCUUUGAGCAAGAAGAGCCAAAAUCUAGGGCAGCAGCACCUUCUCAAACCAAGGCGCCGCCUUCACUGCCUCUCAAAGUUGCACAAACUGAAGUAAAACCAUCAAAGGUGACAGAGCCUGAAGCUUCUCAAGCUAAGGUAUCAACUCCACUGCCUCUCAGAGUUGCACAAACUGGAGUAAAACAAUCAAAGGUGACCGAGCCUGAAGCUUCUCAAGACAAGGCAUCAACUCCACUGCCUCUCAGAGUUGCACAAACUGAAGUAAAACCAUCAGAGGUGACAGAGCAUGACGCUUCUCAAACUAAGGCAUCGGCUUCGCUGCCCAUCAGAGUUGCACAAGCUGAAGUAGACCCAUUGAAGGUGGCAGAACAUGAAGCUUCUCAAACUGAGGUAUUGCCUAUACUGUCUCCCAGAGUUGCACAGACUGAAGUAGAACCAGCAAAGGUGGCGGAGCAUGACUUUUUUGGAACAAAGGGGCCUUCAAUGCCUUUAAUUAGAGCUGCUCAAACUGAAAUAGAAACACCAAAGGUGUCAGAGCUUGAAGCACACGUGAAUGAGACUGGCUUGUUGCUCGCCCACAUGCAGGAGACUGGUCCAUUGGUAGUCGCCAUGGACAGUGCAGAGGAGGGCAUUCCAGCUCUGCAUCAGAAUGUCCAGGCCAAUGGUGAAGUAGAAUCAUCAAAGGUGUCUGAGCUUGAAGCACACGUGAAUGAGACUGGCUUGUUGCUCGCCAUGGAGAUUGCAGAGGAGGGCUUUCCAGCUUUGCAUGAGAAUGUCCAGGUUAAUGGUGAAGUAGAAUCAUCAAAGGUGUCGGAGCAUGAAGCACACAUGCAGGAGACUGGUCUGUUGGUCGCUAUGGACAUUACAGAUGAGGAGGGCAUUCCAGCUUUGCAUGAGAAUGUCCAGGCUAAUGGUGAAGUAGAAUCAUCAACAGUUGAGCUGUCAUCAUGUACCUCUGGUCAGCAAGCAUCAGAAACUACAGCAGCACCUUGCGAGGAGAGCAGUCCUUCACAAAUCAAGGUAUCACCUUCUCUGCCACUUGGAGUUGCAAAAAUGGAAGUAGACCCACUGGAGGUGACUGACCAUGAAGUAGAAACAUCGAAGGUGUCGGAGCAUGAAGCAUACAUGCUGGAGACUGGCCAAUUGGUCGCCAUGGACAUAGCAGAGGAGGGCAUUGCAGCUUUAAAUCAGAAUGUCCAGGCAAAUGGCGAUAUCAGUUCAUCAACUGUUGAGCUGUCAUCAGGUACCUCUGGUCAGCAACAAUCAGAAGCUACAGCAGCACCUUGCGAGGAUAACACUUCUUCUCAAACUGAGGUAUCAUCUUCACUGCCUCUUGGAGUUGCAAAAGUGGAAGUAGAACCAGUGGAGGUGAUUGAGCAUGAAGCUUGCACGCCCCAGGCGGGCCCAGUGUUGGCAGCCAUGGAUAUUGCAAAGGAGAACAUUCCAGCCAUGGAUACCGCAAAAGAGAACGUCCAGCCUGGUGGUUAUUCGAGUCCACUAAAGGAGAACAUUCUGGCUCCGCAUCAAAAUAUCCAGCCUGAAGAGCAUAUGACUCCUGUAAAGGGAAGCAUUCUGGCCUCACAUACAAAUGCGCAGGCUAUAGGGGAGAUGACUCCAAUGACACUCUUGAGCCAGAAGCUGUCCUCCAUUUCUCUAGGACAAGCUAAUGGGGAGGCGACUCCAUUGGCCCAGAAGCUGUCCUCCAUUUCUCAAGGACAAGCUAAUGGGGAGGCGACUCCAUUGACCCAGAAGGCGCCCUCCAUUUCUCAAGGACAAUCUAAUGGGGACGCGACUCCAUUGACCCUAUUGGCGCAGAAGCUCUCCUCCAUUUCUCUUGGCGAUGUCACCGACUAG
rnacentral:rRNA from 1 species